AUUGAACGCUGGCGGCAGGCCUAACACAUGCAAGUCGAACGAGUGGCGGACGGGUGAGUAAUGUCUGGGAAACUGCCUGAUGGAGGGGGAUAACUACUGGAAACGGUAGCUAAUACCGCAUACCAUCAGAUGUGCCCAGAGGGGAUUAGCUUGUGGGUGGGGUAACGGCUCACCAAGGCGACGAUCCCUAGCUGGUCUGAGAGGAUGACCGGCCACACUGGAACUGAGACACGGUCCAGACUCCUACGGGAGGCAGCAGUGGGGAAUAUUGGACAAUGGGCGAAAGCCUGAUACAGCCAUGCCGCGUGUAUGAAGAAGGCCUUCGGGUUGUAAAGUACUUUCGGCGGGGAGGCGUUACCCAACGAGGAAGCAACGGCUAACUCCGUGCCAGCAGCCGCGGUAAUUC
rnacentral:rRNA from 1 species